AAAGUCGACAGAUUUUAUUUUGAUGCACACCCUGCUCCUACAGUAGAUCAACUGUCGCCAACAUCCACUACAAGGGUUCUUUGAGAUCAUAUUUAUGUGUCAGUCAAAUUUUAGCAAUCUUAUUAUGAACAGUCGUACCAUCAUAGGUCAAAAGAUCAUACACACAACUAUAGCAUCGAGAUAAUCACUGACGAUCGAGUAGAAAUUCAAGUAAUCUCUCAUAUGGUCACGCUUAGUACUAAUUAUUCUCUAACAAUUAUCCGCACUCAUCGCUCAAUGUCUCUACAUUGUAAAUCAGAGACUCAUCUACCUUGAAGGA
rnacentral:lncRNA from 1 species